GCUCCCUCCAAGCAUCGUGCUUCCGUAGGUCCCAGAGCCAUCUUUCCAGAGAUAAGGUCUCUUCACUGAACCUUUAGCUCACCAAGUUAACAGACCGACGAUCAAGGAGCCCCGGGAAUCUGCCUACCUCCAUUCCCUCCCAGCGCCGGGGCCUCAGAUGCUCACCACGCCGCUUGCCUUUUACAUAGGUUGCUGUGAUUCGAACUCAGGUCCUAAAGCUAGCGCAGCAAACAACCCACCAAGCCUUCUCCCUAGCCCUUAAUCUCUUUCGCUGUCCUAAAUUUUCACUACUUGGUAUACAUUUUGUACUUCCAGAACAUCUACAUUCAAACUAUCCACAGUUCCUCGGGGAUAUAUGCACAGACUUAGCUGUUGUUGACUAAUUUUGUUUUUUGUUUUUUUGUUUUUUUGCUUCUUGUGACAGGUUUUCUGUUGCAUAUCUAAGGCUGGCCCAGAACUCACUUUGUAGCCGUUGUAUAAUUUUCUUCUUAGGAGGUCGACCAGGCCCCUCCCUCCUACCAAGGUCCAGACAAAGUUUUUCUUUGCAUGGGGUCGGUUCCCCCUCAACCCCUUCCCCACCCCAGCUUCUGUUAACCUUCUACAAUCUAUAGACUGUAGUACUUCCCAGGGCCACAGAGCCCACAGACAAUGAGGGCAGAGUUGCAUACAGCUGGCUGAGAGGUUCAGGAGGGAGCAGCUGAGAGAACAAAGGAGAGUCCAGAGAGUGAUCUUUCCGAUUCUUCUUCCAUGAGGGAACCUCAACAACAAACAAGUCUUGGAGGUCACCAGCAGAUGGCAGACACCUCAGGGUUCAUAUUCCUACUGAAGCAAGAUGGAGAGGCAGCGACAAUCUUGGCAACAUAAGAAGGGGGCAGCAAGACAGAACAGUGGGUAAAGGUCACCAUGGCUGAACCUGACAACCAAAUUCCAUCUCUGGGGCCCAUAUGAUAGAAGGAAAGAACUGACUUCUACAGGUUGUGGGGUCUUGCUGUGGCAUCUUACCAGUAAGUCUCAAUAAUUUGUUCAUUUGUUUGUUUUUCUAACCAACUGAUUGUUAUGGCACGCCCCUUUAAUCCCAGCACUCCACUCGGGAGACAGAGGCAGGCCAACCUCUGCGUUUGAGGCUAGCUUGAUCUACAGGGUGAGCUCUAGGACAAUCAGGGCCACACAGUGGGAUUCUGUCUCAAAAAAAAGUCUCCAAAUCUAUUUCAUCACAAACUGGUGGAUACUGACAUCCUUCUUCUUCUUCUUCUUCUUCUUCUUCUUCUUCUUCUUCUUCUUCUUCUUCUUCUUCUUCUUCUUCUUCUUCUUCUUCUUCUUCUUCUUCUUCUUCUUCUUCUUCCUCCUCCUCUUCUUCCUCCUCCUCCUCCUUCUUCUUUGGUUUUUCGAGACAGGGUUUCUCUGUGUAGCCCUUGCUGUCCUGGAACUCACUUUGUAGACCAGGCUGGCCUCGAACUCAGAAAUUCGCCUGCCUCUGCCUCCUGAGUGCUGGGAUUAAGGCGUGUGCCACCAUGCCCAGCUGACAUUCUUCUUCUUGUAGAACCCAUAAAAAGCCUGUUCAACCUGAGUCUAGGUCCCUAAAAAUCUGGGGAUACUCCUGAGGCUCCUGCAUCUUUUUUCUCCUCACAAAUGACACAACCACACAUUGUCCUUUAAUGGAAAUGUCACAGAGGAAGUGAGGACCAGCGGAUAUGUAUGCCUCUAAAUCCCUCCUCUUCUCUGAAAACUCCCCCAUCGUAUCCGCCCCACUCUGGCACAACAGGUCUCUGCAGGGAUAGGUGUAUCUUCUCCCACUGAGGCCAGACAAGGUAGCCAGACUGUACGGUGGGGGGAGAACCGGGAGGAGUGGGCAGCGAUUGGGAUGUAAAAUAAAUAAAUAAAUAAAUUAAUUAAUAAAAAAGAAUAAACUCUAGGUAAAGUUUAAAAAAAUUAAAAGAGGAGCUGGAGAGACGGCUCAGUGGGUAAGAGCACUGACUGCUCUUCCAGAGGUCCUGAGUUCAAUUCCCAGCAACCACAUGGUGGCUCGCAACCAUCUGUAAUGGGAUCUGAUGCCCUCUUCUGGUACCAUCUGUAUGUAAUAGUAUCUCUUCUGGUGUGUCUGAAGACAGCUACAAUGUACUAAUAUACAUAAAAAUAAACAAAUAAAUCUUUAAAAAAAUUAAAAGAAUUAAAAGUAACAUAUAUUAAAAAAACAUUAUCGCAAACUUGGGUGUCACAGCAUUUUUUCCUUUCUGAGUGCAAAGGCUACUGGGCCUCUAAAUUUCUACUCCAAUGUAGCUUUGGGGGUAAACACAUCCUGCCCAGAGGGAAGUAGCUAACUGCCUUGCAGCCCUUCACCUACCUACAGAGACUGCAGGCAAGCCCAAAUUGAGAAUGAAGUCCAGGGCUUUUUCAGUGCUCCAAGGACCACUGCAACCAGUGAUACCCGAGUUGAGUAAGUAGGACUUGGUGUCCUUCAGGGGAGCAUGUUCCAAACAGGCAGAUGAGCUUCGAAAGAACUGAGACAGGGGCAGUAUUGGUGGUUGCCGAGCACAAGACCCUAGCAGCACCAGAAAGGUGAGCUGGCCGGUUUGGCAAGCAGGCAGGCCAGUAGGGACAGAAGUCACUUUGGAUGCGCUGUACAGGUUUUGAAGGAUUCCUCCCCACUCCCUCCACACAGGAUUCCCCUGUGUAACAAAAUCCUGGCUGUCCUGGACUCGCUUUGUAGACUAGGCUGGCCUUGAACUCACAGAGAUCCACAUGCCUCUGCCUCCUGGGUGCUGGGACUAAAGGCAUGCCCCACCAUGUCUGGUGCUUUCAUAGGAUUUAAAGCAGAGAGACUUAAUCUAAUUUACCUAAAAGGGAUGAGGUUGACCCCGUCCCUAACCUGGAACUCAGGGGACAAACAAGUAACCCCUAACCAAUUUGAAUACCCUGAUACAACUAUGCCAAAAGGGAAGGGCUGAUUUUGUCAAUGAUAGAGCUAAAACCAAUCAUGGGUGUGUAUGAUACGCAAUUAAUUAGUUAAAUGCCGAAAUGUAUCAAAAGAUAUUUGCUUCUUCUCUUUUCUUUCUUUUUUCCUGUCUUUCUUACUAGGCAGAUCAAGUUGGCCUCAAAUUCAGAGAUCCUCCCAAGAGCUGGCAUUAAGAGUGUGCACCACCACGCUGGACAUGUUUUCCUUUUGUAAAAUGUGUUUAUUAUUACUAAGUGUGUUAAUGAUCCCUGAGUGUGUAAGCGUGCCUGGGCACCCCUGUGCACAUCAGGGGACUUUGCACAGUCAGUUAUUCUCCUCCCUUCACACGGGCUUCUUAGUUCUACUCCACAGCAGUAAUGGGGAUAAACAUUAACAUGAAUCAAGUUAACCGAGUGAAGACACUGCAUGCAACACUUUGCCUACCGAGUAUUGAGAUUAUAGUUAAGAGCACGUGCAGAAGGAAACCCAGGGCUUCCUGUGUGCUAGACAUUCUACCCGCUGGACUACAACCCAGAGAGUAAUCUACUGAGCAAUCUCACCUGUCUUAUUUAUCUUGCCUUUUUUUUUUUUUUUUUAAAUCUUCCAAACAAAACAAAAACAGCUCCCAGGGUACUGGUUUGAUCCCUGUUUUAAGUCUUUCUCAAACUUCGGACCUGCUACUUUUGGAGGUCGUGAUGGCCCAGCGUAAGCUUUAUUGGCAAACAGACUAUUUCUUGCAGGAAAGAGGGGGGAAAAUGUCAUUAGAAACAAUUUCCCACAUUCCCAGCGUUUCAGCUACUGCUAAUUCUUCUGUGGCAACAAUAAACAAUACAGGAGCGUGCUUUCUC